GCUGGGCACGGUGACCGGCGCCUGUAGUCCCAGCUACUCAGGAGGCCAAGGUAGGAGGAAUGCUUGAGUCCAGGAGUUCUGGGCUGAGUGAGCUAUGCCCAUUGUGUAUCCUUUAGUUCCACAUCAACACAGUGACCUCCCGGGAGUGGGAGGAGCACCAGAUUGCCUAAGGAAAGAUAAACCAGCUCAGGUCAGAAAUGGAGCAGGUUGAAAAUGAACACACCUAAAGCAAUCAAGUUCCUGAGCAAUACAGUUCCCUAUAUCC
rnacentral:SRP_RNA from 1 species